rnacentral:rRNA from 1 species
UACGUAGGGUGCAAGCGUUGUCCGGAAUUAUUGGGCGUAAAGAGCUCGUAGGCGGUUCGUCACGUCGGCUGUGAAAUCCCGAGGCUCAACCUCGGGUCUGCAGUCGAUACGGGCGGACUUGAGUACUGCAGGGGAGACUGGAAUUCCUGGUGUAGCGGUGAAAUGCGCAGAUAUCAGGAGGAACACCGGUGGCGAAGGCGGGUCUCUGGGCAGUAACUGACGCUGAGGAGCGAAAGCGUGGGAGCGAACAGG